rnacentral:rRNA from 1 species
GCCUGAGAAAUAGCUACCACUUCUACGGAGGGCAGCAGGCGCGCAAAUUGCCCAAUGUCAAAAAAAAACGAUGAGGCAGCGAAAAGAAAUAGAGCCGGCAGUGCCAAUGGCAUUGCCGUUUUCAAUGGGGGAUAUCUAAACCCAUCCAAAAUCGAGUAUCAAUUGGAGGACAAGUCUGGUGCCAGCACCCGCGGUAAUUCCAGCUCCAAAAGCGUAUAUUAAUGCUGUUG